ACUGCUUUGCCCUCACUCAAAAUGGCCGCCGGCGCGUCCGCUCCUUCAUAAGCCGCGCGUCGCGCCGGCGCACCCCAGCGGCUGCUCUGUGGGGCGGGGGCGGCAAGCGGCGCCGCCGGGUUGACCGGUUUCAUUCAGAGCGUGUCUGUGCUGCCGCCAGGCAGUGAGGUUUCAUGAGUCAGACUGGGCUGUUGGGAGUUUCUUCUGAAGAUGUACAUGUUGGUUGAAAACCGCACAAGUUCCCAUCUUCAUCUAAAGAGGUCACCAGGAAUCCGCUCUUGGUCUCUUUUUGUUGGAAUAGCCUCCAUAGGCUUGGCUGCUGCUUAUUAUAGCGCAGACAGCUUGGCAUGGAAGCUCUUCUAUGUGGCCGGGUGUUUCUUUGUGGCAGCACAGAAUCUGGAGCAGUGGGAGGAAGCUGUAUUUGAUAAGAAAAAAGGAACAGUCUGCCUGAAAACAUUCAAUCUUUACAAGAAAAUACUGACCUUCUCAAAAGGAGGCAAUGAACAAGUGGUGGCUCUGCUGAAUGAGAUCCGAGACGUGAACGUGGAAGAGGAGACGGUGCGCUAUUUUGGGAAGGGUUACCUGGUCGUGCUGCGCUUCGUCACUGGAUUUUCACACCCCCUGACUCAGAGCGCAGUGUUCAGCUGUAGAAGAUACAGCCAUGGAUGAAACAGACAGAACUGCCUGCAUUUAAUCUUGGCUAUACUGGGCUUCUCUUCUGUUUUCACGAGAGCUAACAUUCUGUGGAAGAUGCAAACCACGCUGUGGUUUUCCAUUUAAAUCAGCUUUAGAAAGCUUCUGUAGGCUGGGGUGGACGUUCUCCUCCAUCCAUUCCUCUACGGUGCACUGGUGGAAAACUCGCUCCAUGGCCGCUCGGAGGUCCUGCACCACGGCGUUCCACUUGGAGAGCAGGCUGAGCGGAAAUCAGAAGGAAGAAACAAUCCCGUUUGCAGGUGAGCUCUGUCUCGAGGGGGCCUGGGCUACCAGGCCUUUGAAAGGGAGAACAGGCCUUGAAAUGACUUUACAGGAAAAGCAGCAGCUGUUAUAAGGGCUCAAAGGACUUGAUUUUGGGCAGAUGGCGGAAGGUUGAUGCUGUUUAAGUGCCAUUAAUCUUGGUACUUAUGCCAUGACUUCUAAAGUACCAAAAUGUGAGCUUAACAAAACACUAAAUACAUUUGAAGUGUAACAGAAACCCACUGUAAGACUUGUUGGGAAUUUAACUCAGGAAGAGUGGAUGCAGUUGGAUGUUUGCUUGGCAAAAAAUGUAUAAAUUAACCAUUUAGCAUGAGUCAGCAUCAUCUUUAGGACAAGUUCUGAGACUACAUCCAGUGACAGGAACGGGGCUGGGUUUUAUUCCAAGCCCUGCCUGGAACAUGGGCUGUGGUGGAUCCUGCACUGAGGCCAAGAGCUGCAGGAAGGUCUGUGCAGGAGCAUCUGCACAUUCAAGGAAGUUCUUCAGAGACCAAUUUUGUACCUGCAUUCAAAGAAUUUGUUCAACAGAAAGCAAAGAUAAACAUGUUCUUCUGUUUAAAACCACAUUAUGAAUGCUUCUUGUUGGAUUUUUGCUGAUGCUUCUGAAAUAAUUUUACAAAGAGGCAAGGACUCAAAACUAAAUGUUGGGGACUUGAAUGCUCCAAAUAGAACAGACUUUACUUUCUCUAUAAUGGAAAAUAAGUGUUGUUACCUUACUGCAUCUGGCUGGAAGUGAUGCAUUAUUAUAGGAUGAAUAAUUCGCCUUUUUCUGUGGUAGGGGCUGAACCAGCCUGUAACAUAUCUGAAAAAGAGUGUUAGUGUGAGCAGUCUGUGAACCAGCAGUGACGUGUGUUUGUAGCCUGACAGGGCUUUAGCCAAACUUCUGCACACAUAGAGAUAUAAGGAGUAAGUAAAUUUAAGUGUACAACUAUCUUGGAACUAUCUUGUAAGAGAUGGAUCCUGGCAGAUGAGAAUAACUGAUCACCUGUUGCAAUUUAAGUUUCAUUUCAAGCACCUGAGAUGUCAAUAUAUGGUGCCUGUUUCAUUUCAAGCACCUGAGAUGUCAAUAUAUGGUGCCUGAAAGGUAGAGCUUGAUGAUUCAAUCAGUCUGCUGGAGCUGUGCCCCACUUUGAGCGGAUACAGCCCCCACACUCGUGCAGCCAGCCAGAGCAUCACCACAAACCUCGGUACCUGUUCCUUUCAAGAAGCUCAUCCACUGAUGACUUGAGGUAGAAACUCACUUGCGUCACGAGCGUGAGGACGUUGCUCCCAGGAAAGGUCCCCAGAGCGGUGCUGUGCAAAGAGGAUCCGUUAGUUUCUGAACUCACCACGUGCUGAGAAGCGUCAGAAUUCCACAGCUGCAAUUUCACCUCAUGAAUGUUUCGGUUUCCAGGUUGGACAUUCCCAGGAGCUUUUCCACAUUUUCUUUAAUCUUUUCAGAAUAGCCACCUGGCAGAAGACAGCGGAAAUAAGUAAAAAGGAGCCUAAAUAACCAAAAUGUUCUUAAAGAGGGUUUUCCUGGAGUACCCUGCAUUGGCUUAGUAGUUCCCUUUGGAUCAAGAAUUUUUUGAAAGGUAAAAUGGAAAUAGAACGAGGAAAAGAACUUGAGGGUGGGAGGAGUACAUUGUCUUUCACACAGUUGUAAAGCACUUGUAGCUAUGAGCUUUCCACUCGGGGUGCUGAAUGAUUUUAGUGCCUUAGUUAAAAACAGGUAGCUUGCAGUUUCUUAUUUUAGAGAUAAGAAAUGCAGAAAGACAAAAAUAAAAAUCCUGUUGGCAACUGCCUGUGAAGAAAAAAGAAACUACAGGGUCUAUUUUACAAGCCCUAGAUCCAUUAAUUAGUCAAAACAAUUUUUACAUGUAAACAAGAUCUAAAUCUCACUGAUAUACCAGCAGUGUUUCAAAUCAGUUUCAAAAGCAAUUCAGCUUCUUAAUUUUUUUUUUUAGUAUAAGCACAAAGUUUGUGACCAUUUACAGGCUAAAAUACAAGAAAUUAUUAGUAUACUAUGGCUAUUUUAAAAUACUGAGGCCAAGAGGCUUUGCUCCUGUACUGCAAACAUGCAAGUGUAUAAUUUAUUGUUCAUAAUUCAGACCUCAAUCAGGUAGUCAAACCACCUCAAAAUAUAAUAAGCCUGUGCCAACCUUGGGGCAAAGUCACCUCCCUCCUGUGCUAGGGAUUAGCUGAGAGAGAAUGAAGUGGUGGUUGUACCGUUCUCCAGUGCCUGCAGACACACAGCCAGGGACGGAACUGCCACAGGGAGCAGCUCACACAAAACCGAGAAGUGAUCGUACCUAAGUAAGAAAACAUCUGCCAAUUAGACAUUUUACGUUUAGAACAUAGUAAACACGGGGGGUGUGUUAAUAUUUCUAUCACUAGCAUUCAAAGAAGUUUAAAAACAUCAGUUUGUCUCAGAGAAGGCACCAUCUACCUCUGAAAUGCUAAGUUUCUGUUUUACUAAUAAGAACAGAUAUGAACCAAAUUACUUUCUCAAGCCAGAUUAGAUUCAAAAAUUGGAAUUCAGCUCUCUCGUAUUUCCUUAGACCUCCUGUCGCAUAAAAUCCUUUUGCUCCUUCACUACGUUAACAAGGUCUCUCUCAUGCAACUUCACCCACAUUAGACAUUCAGCUAUACACCACACAUUGACUGUGCUGUCUAUAAGCAGUCCAACGUGGCACUAAGUAUAUUCUAGCCUUCAAAUCCAAUCUGCUGUGGUUAGUGUCUGCCAAAACAGUCGCUCCUGCUGAUUAACGCCAUGGCAGGUGACUGGAACUCUGAAAUCCGCCCUUCACGGUCAGCGGGAGGCCCAGCAGUAACCAACAGGCAGGACUGCAGGGUGCAAAGUUCCCUUCUAAAUCCCCAGCCCCCCUGUACCUCCUGGGGAGUUUUUGGGUGGAAAUUUGCUUCUGUGGGAUCCUCGGAACCAUUUAUAAGGAUGGUCCUUACCUCUGCCAGCCGGUCAGGGCGAUACCUUCAAGGACAUCGGCGGGGCUAUCGCUUGCCACUUUCAGCCACUGAAGAUGGUUUUUUAAGUGGUGCCCGAUGAGCGUCAGAGACUGAUUCACUCCCGUAGCUCCUUUAAAGGCACUGGCAAACCACACCUUGGAGAAGCCGCAUCUACGAUACUUCUCUAUGAGCUGCACUGAAAUAAUACACAAAAGAACACUUAGGGGACAAGUUUUUCUCCAUUUAAAGCAUUGACUGUAAUGUUCCAAUUAACAGCAAAGCAAGUCCAGUUACAAGAGGCUGCUGAGCCUUGUCCCAUCAAGUUCUGAGCACCAGCAAGGACGGGAGAUUUGACACGCUCUCCGAACAACCUGUUUCUCUGUUUGACUGCCCUCCUAUCUUCAUGUGCCCAGUGACCAUAUCCCAUCCCCUUGAAUUGCUAAAUUGCUUCAAUGUGCAGAACCAUGGGUAUGUAACCAGUACGUGCAACAUCUGACAACUGAUUCUUCUUUGAACAAACAAAUAUUCGUGUGCAUGUCAUCUGCCUGAUUGCAGCCUUUAGGAGUUUUUCCUUUGAAUUCUAUACACGUAUGAAGCCUUGAAGCUUCUUUUGUAGAGGUGUUUGAUACAGAGCUAUCUGCUCCCACUGGUUUUAAUGCAAGGAGUUAAUGGAACGGUACUUGUGAGAAACCUCUCAAUCUCCCAUCAGUGAUUCCAUAGCCCUGUUGAAAAGAAUUAAGCAGCAAAAAGAUGCAAGCCCUUCAUAGGAGAAGCAAAAGCAGAGAAAGAAAAUAAAUAACAGCAACUAUUAUGUGAAAUCAAACAAGGGCUAUGUUUAUGCUACUAAAGCAAUUUAACAAAAAUAUAAUUUGUGUCCAACUAAGGUAUGUUUUAAUCAUAUGAUUUUGGUUUGGCUACUUUGUUUAACAGGUAACAGAGCUCUUUGCUUUUCCUAAGCAGCUCAGCAGAGAAGUACAAACCUUUGCCCUCCACGUCCAGGUCUGCUGCGUAGUCCCAGAUCAUGGGCUGCACAAGCUGUGGGACCCCAGACUCUGAAAGGAACAGAGUUCUAAGCAGUGGAAAAGAGCCAGUUAAAAAUGACUACUCAGUACAUAUGGUCGGUGCAGUAACACCGUAACAGACUAGAAUUAACUCCGGCUUGUCACCAGAAUUCUUCACGUACAGUUGAAGCGACCACAUGUCCUGUCAGCCCAGCCAGGGGUUUGAACAUGGGGGUUCGCAUGCCAGGGGCCACCAAGUCCUUGGACAGCCUGAAACCACUAAUACGGAGCAGCAGCAACUAUUUAUCGGAGAUCCCAUUCAUCCCAAGCUCAUCUCAUCCUUUGUCCCUGGAAUCUACCUGUAUACCUGCUGGGCUGAACUGGUGGUGCUGCCAACUGUACACACAAGAUUUCAGCUAAAUUCAAAGGAAAUAUUCACCUUUUGAGCUAGAGAUUGUCUCAGCUCCCUUUGCACAGGGCUCAGCUUCUCAAGACACUUUGAAAGCACAAAUGAAGAUAUAGGUUUAGCUUCAAAUUCCUUUAUAAUUAACUCUCUGACUAGUUUUAAACAUGAAAAAACAAAUUUUGGAGAAACUGCAGUAAAUUGUACAGAAAUUUAGUAUUUUAACUUGUUUAGCUCGUUAUUGCCUGUGGCAGUACAGUGCACUUAGCUAGAUGCUGUGCUGCUCUUGUGGGAACUGCACGGGUCCUAUCUGCAUUUAUUUUGGAUGAUUUCCCACUACUAAAGCCACAAGUAGGUCACUCACUGCUGGAGGAGUUGCACGGCUGCUCAUGGUGUUGUCUAGAUCUAUUUAGAGCAGACAUAUAAGGUGGCUCUGAAAAUGCUGGAAUUCCAUCUCCGUUAGGAUUAGUCAAAUUUUAGCAGUAGUUUCCUAUUUUUCAAGAACCAAGACUCAGGAUGUCCAGCUCACUGAGCUAUCCCACAAUUCAGUAUCAGAGCUCCUCGUGCCAUGCACUGUGACCACCUGCACUGUCAGAGAUGCUCACAGGGCCGCAGCUUCUCCGUGCGAGUCUGCACCGCUGGAACCAGAAACUGCACAGAGCAAUGACUAACGUUAAAGGCGGCGAAAGGCACAGAAAUUUAGGCUGAGACUACAAACGCUUGUAGGCUUUUUUAAAUGUGUAAAGAAAGUAGAAUUGAUGGCAAGCACUGUUUUGUUUGUCACUGUAUUACCAGAUGGAAAAGUAAAAGCACAUGUGUUGAGACUUGCC